rnacentral:rRNA from 1 species
UACGUAGGGUGCAAAGCGUUUGUUCGGAUUUACUGGGCGUAAAGGGCGCGUAGGCGGUCGUGACAAGUCACUUGUGAAAUCUCCGGGCUUAACUCGGAACGGUCAAGUGAUACUGUCGGACUAGAGUACAGAAGGGGCAACUGGAAUUCUCGGUGUAGCGGUGAAAUGCGUAGAUAUCGAGAGGAACACCUGCGGCGAAGGCGGGUUGCUGGGCUGAUACUGACGCUGAGGCGCGAAAGCCAGGGGAGCGAACGGG